rfam:Picea glauca, whole genome shotgun sequence.
ACAUGCUUAUAACAUAGCGUUAAUGCAUUGGAUCCCAUUAGAACUAUGUAGUUAGGUGCGCUCAGGCUAGAGUAGUACUGGGAUGGGUGACCGAUCAGGAAGUCUUAUUAUUUUACAUGCC